AACAAUGUUUGAAGUGUGGCAUGGUAAAUUAUCCUGCAGAGAACACCAUUGCCAUGGUGUUCUGCAACAAUCUCUAGGUAGGUGUUAUGUGUCAAGUUAACAUCCACGUGACUGCCAGGACCCAAGAUUUCCCAGCAGAGCAUUAUCCAGGGCAUAGCACUGCCUCAAAUGGUCUGCCUUCUUCCCAUAGGGCAUCCUGCGGCCAUAUUUUCCUCAGACCAUCCACCUG